CGGGACCAGUCCCGUUAAGGAAUGUGGCCUGAUAUCAGGCUGAACCUUUGG
rnacentral:ncRNA from 1 species